UGACGGUCUUGCUCAGGCCGUUCUGGGUGAUGCUGAUGCCGUUGACGGUCUUGCUGAGGCCGUUCUGGGUGGUGCUGAUGCCGUUGACGGUCAU
rnacentral:tRNA from 1 species